ACUCAUCUUAUUUAAACGCACGCUUCCGUUGCUAUAAGGAUUAUCAAAGGCGCGCGGCUAGCUUUCAGGCAGAGUUACGCGCCGCGCCCUCGCACUGCGCCAGUAGCAUUUGAGAUCCCACUUUCCUGCGCAUUGACAUGGGAAAAGGUGCCGGCGCUGAAGAGCUGCUGGCUUUGACAGAAGACAGGGAGAAGGUGGGACGGGAAAGAGUCGGCCUCGGCCUUUCUCCCUUCUCCCCUCAGGGCUUCUAGCGGGGAAGUUCACACGCGGGGUACAGAGUCCUGCGGAUUUUGAACUGUGUUUUUUAUAAGAAUGCAGUGCUUGGGGAUUGUGCAGAAAAACCAAUUUGACGCACAGUGCCGCUUAGAAAGUGAACGUGUGCCUUGACAGGUUUCCACCAAAGCACGUCCAGCUUCCCAAACUGCUUGCUUUUGUUGCUUUUGGGAUGAACUCUACUUUCAUCGCAGAGAGCCUUCUCCUUUGUUUGGAAAGGCUUUUCCUGCCAAGCAAAGUAAGUGCCUUUCUCAAGCGCAGCCCUCCGAAGGCACUGAAGCAUGUUGGAUACAGAGAGUAAUUUGUUCCCUCAGGCGGUAUAUGUCUUGUAUUAAAAAUUACAAGAUGAGAAUCUACGGCUGUGCUGAGAGCACACACUGGAUUUGUUGUGUGGCGAGACGGGAACAGGUUAUGGCUGAUCUUGUUCAUUCGUUGCAGAUAAGAGAGGCGCUACCCUUUCCGUGUUUGGUUUUUUUUUGGGGUCAGGAUCAAAUCCCCAUCUGUCUGUCAACGUGAACAAUUGUGUCUGAGUCAAGAAUGCUUUGAUUAAAAAUGAUAUGGUUGGAAACACCCUCUUUGCCGAGAAGAAAUGAGUAAGGAAAUGGCCCUCAUGUGUGAGCUUCUGAGGAGAGACUGUCUGCUCAGCUCGCAGCCAGUCAAAAUAUGCUUUCUGGCAGGGAAAUUAAUAAAUAGACCAGCUUCAAUAGAUGGAGAUUUAAGGGCAAGAGACUAAUGUUGUUCUAAAAUUCUUUUGGGUUGGAACAUAAAUCCAAUUUAAUGCGGUCACAGUAGAAAAUUAAUUUAUUUUCUAUCUUCCAAACAAUAUUUUCUUUGUUAAGCAAGAAGAUUGGAGACUUAUUUUUAUUGGUAUAUGCUUAAAAAUGUGUAAAAACUUUGGCCCCUUUCAUUUCCUGAGGACAAUCAUGUGAUAACCUUAAGUGGGCCGUGUAAAUGUAUUAAUCUCAUAUCCCCAACUGUUGUGGAGAAUUGAGCAACCUCCAUACUUCGACCUUCCUCUGUAUUGGAUGUCAAGAAUGAUAUGAAAGGAGUGGUUUUGCGGUGAAAAUGCAAAACUGCUGAGUAACGGCAACAUGACUACACAGGAACCUGUUAUGGAAUAACAGGAAGACUAUGGAAUAGUCUCCAGUGGAAGUGGUGGAAACUCCAUCACUCAAAACAUUAAAGUCUUAUGACUACUGAGAGUUUCACAGUGACGGGUGUUUUUCUUAAAUUUCCAGCUUCUGAAAUCAAAGAGCAUGUGGGCAUUUCCACUUACCCUGCGUAAGCAAGCACACAAGCAAGGCAUGAGCUUUCCUACUUGUGGAGAAAGCUUGGAAAUGAGGCUCUAAAGGAUUCAAAUGCAAAGAGUCACCGUUCCUGAUUUAGCAGAUCUUUAUAUUUUGAAUCCGUAGCUCAACAAAUAAGUGUGGACUGUAAGUGUCCACAGUAAAGCGAAGCAGCGUGGGCCGGAGGGAGCAGUGCAGCCUGCCUGGGGUGAUGACAGCAUCUGAAAUGUUCCCUGCUCAUCCUUUGCCUGAGUCUUUGAAAAUGCACAGGUAUUUGGUGUGUGUGUUUACACAGUUCUUUGUGAGCUAGUGAGGAGGUACAACCUGAACACUCAACAAGCACCAGACUGCUUGUGCUGGUGGCCUGGGAUCUACGGCUGCGCCUUGGCUCUGGAGCUGUCACGACUCGGGUACAAACACCAACAGAUUUCUUAAUCGCUGCUUUUCUGAGGGUUUCCAGUGUUCUGUUUCCCACAGUAAGUGUGAACGUCCUCCUCAUCAAAAUAAAUGUUUAUUUAAUGACAAUGGACUUGGCAACAUGCUCCGUUAAACCCUUGAACGAGCCGAUGAUUCUCCUUGUGGCAGAAUGCGAGCUAACCAGGCAGAAGAGCCCAGGUGACUGAUAAAAACAGAAGCCUCUUGGAGCAGAGGAUGCCUGAUGGCUCCUCCCUGUGCAGGGGGGUCAUGUUUUAUCACAUAUGAAAGUCUCUUCUGGAUUUUGGAAGGAAGUGAAUUGAAAGCAAGGCGGAUAUUUGAGGUAUGAGUGACCUGACAGAAGCUAUGGUAUGAUAAUGAUGCAUUAGCUUAAUCCACCGUGGCCAGGAAAUGGUUUCUCCAUUUACCAGUUCUAGAUUCAUCUCCGUGUUUCGCUGUCACAGACCCUACUAUGACUGAUAACUUAAAGUGAAGGCAGAAGCAGAGCUUAAUUCAGCUCUGUUACUGUAAGUGCUUUUGAAGUGGCUGCAGAGAUCCCUGGAGUCCGUUUCGGCUCACCCUCCUGCAAAAUCCACUCAGGACGUCGUGCCAGCUCCCACGACGGCAGCUGGCACGGGACUGGGGCCGGGACACCACCAGCUCUCUGGUAGCUGUGCGAAGCCCCGCGUUUGGCAUUGGAAGCAGACGGUGCAUCCUGCCAGCGCAUUUCGCACAAAUUAAAAUGCUCUUACAAGGAGACUGCUAAAAUGUGACCUCCCAAAGGGCUGAGCCAGUCCUGCAGGGACAUGAAGCAGUGAUUCCCGAGCAGGUUUCAGAUCUGAUGCUUGUCUCCUUAAGCCAUCACAUGGCAACUGCCACCUGCAUGAAGUGGAAAGGGAUAUUUUUUACAUGCACACACAAUUUAAUGGCUUUGCCAAACUUUUUUCACCUCCUCUGCUACCCUGAGCCAUCACCUGCUGGCACAUGUGGUGCGCAAAUUGGAGAGUUUUCUUUAUGAGCUGCACAUAAAAUCCACACCUCUGGUCAUGCAUGAGAAACUGCUGAAAGAGCCCGAUACAGCCCUGACUGUGUUCCCUGCUUUACGGACAAGAUGUUAAGGUUGUUUGCUUUCCUGAAACGUGCCAUGUGUCGUGCCUGACCCUGUUGGCACUCACAGAUACUAAAUGACACACUCUUGGCAGGGAACCCAGCUGGCUAAUUAUGCAUGCAAUGUACCUACACACUGGCUUUGUAAGAAGCCCAAUUAAUGAUCCCAGGGAUCAGUAGAAAAAUGAGGGCAUGAUUAGAGGAGCAAAACUUUUCCUGCCUCCCAGACAAAACCAACAAUAUUCAUGGUGUUCAGGGAAAGCCAGAACAGAGUAGAUGUUUUCCCUUUAAAAAGAAGCAUACUUUGCCCAUUAUUGAUGUUGAUCAUCAUCACCCUUGACAUUCAUUUUCUCUAUUACAAAAGCAGGGAUUCCCAUGUUAUUUGGUUAUCAUUAUAAUGUUGGUACUUUUCUUCAUUCAAUAGCUGUCAGCUUCCAUUGAGUUAUUUUUACAGAAGUACUAGUUUAGCUGAGUGAAAAUAAACGAGUUUCUCUCUUCUUCCCUGA